AGCUCCAACAACUAAUAAAUAAGAAUUCCCUUAAUUUCUUGAUCUCAUAUUUAACAAGAAAGGAUGCUUGCUUCGGCAUGCUCAUAUACCCUUGCAGCAAAUAAUUUUUCGACUGCUCCUAUUGCAACUAUAUGAUAUAUUCGCCCAUCAAAUUGAAACCGAAAAAAUAUAAGAUCAAAACAGUGUCAUAUACCGAGUUAAAACCACGAAACUCUAAUUCAUUUUCUAUUAUUAUUUUAAAUUAGUUUUCCGACUGUUCCUUCGGCAGCUAUGUAUAUGAUAUAAUCGUUCGAUGCUUUUCAAAUUAAAGCCGAAAUAAUAAUCCGAUCCCACCCGUUCCGACUUACAUAUACAUACAUAUGUACUUCCCUUCGAAAAAGUCUCAUUCCAAAGCUUUACAAUUAAGAGGGGUAUAAGAAAUAAUACGAAAGCAUUUACUUACUGCAUCAAAAUCUGAGAUGACCUCAUUGAGAAAACGUAAACAUUCCAAGCCCUGGUUGUUUACUGUUUCUUCGGAAUAGAAAUCUGAAAAAGAAGAGCGCCGAUAGUGAUUUUCCUCGUCAUUAACUGCCGGUUGUGCACACAGCUUGUGUUGCCAGAUUCAGAGAAUGCGUUUAUAAAUAUCUCACCUCUCGUAGGGGCCGACUGAUCCCAGGGAAUCCCGAUGGUCCAUAUGUUAAACAACGCGGCCGCAAAGACAAACCACUUCAAUCCACUGCGGCGUUGUUUGAUGGAGUAGUUGUGAUAGAGUUCGUUAAGCACGUGCUGCGGCAAAAUGACGACUCCGCCACCGGUGAUUCCCACGCCUCCGGCCACAUCGCUGUCGUUUUGCCGCCGACGAGAUGUUGUUUGACGCUGCGAAUGCGAUUUGCUUGUCGAGGCGUUCGUCAUCUGACCGUUCUCCAAAUUUGCUUCCAUCACGUUUGUCUAUGAUGUUAUUCGUUGUUCGACCUUAUUUGGUAUUUGUGGUUUACUAAUAAUGCGAAGCCAUGUUCGUGGUUUAUUUGUUUAUGAUGUAACAAGAACCUAAAAUCGUUCAAUUGUCUGAAUAAAAGCACUGCAAGCCAAAACCAAAUACAGGGACAAAGUAUAA